UUCCUAAUAGCUCAGUUGGUAGAGCGUGCGGCUGUUAACCUCAAAGGUCGCUGGUUCAAACCCAGCUGGGAGAG
rnacentral:tRNA from 1 species